rnacentral:rRNA from 1 species
UACGGGGGGAGCAAGCGUUGUUCGGAUUUACUGGGCGUAAAGGGCGCGUAGGCGGCAACUCAAGUCAGCUGUGAAAUCUCCGAGCUUAACCUCGGAACGGUCAGCUGAUACUGUUUUGCUAGAGUGCAGAAGGGGCAAUCGGAAUUCUUGGUGUAGCGGUGAAAUGCGUAGAUAUCAAGAGGAACACCUGAGGUGAAGACGGGUUGCUAGGCUGACACUG